rnacentral:rRNA from 1 species
UACAGAGGGUGCAAGCGUUGUUCGGAAUUAUUGGGCGUAAAGGGCGCGUAGGCGGUGCGGUAAGUCUGUAGUGAAAUCUCUGGGCUCAACUCAGAGUCUGCUGCAGAAACUGCCGUGCUUGAGUGUGGGAGAGGUGAGUGGAAUUCCCGGUGUAGCGGUGAAAUGCGUAGAUAGCGGGAGGAACACCUGUGGCGAAAGCGGCUCACUGGACCACAACUGACGCUGAGGCGCGAAAGCUAGGGGAGCAAACAGGG